rnacentral:misc_RNA from 1 species
UAAGGUUUAAUUGUAAUUGUUUUUAUUUUUUACAUUUGUAUGGGAGAGAUAUACAAACCCUAGCUGUUCUCUAAUUCCUAACAAAAUUCAUCUCAUCUCCCCUCUACAACCCAAUCUCCUUUAUUGGUCAUCGUUGGAACCAUUGAUCUCAUCACUCCUCAAAAACUCUACCAAUCCCCUUAACCUAUUGCCAUUCUUGUUAUCAAUGAUCAACCCCACCACUCGCCAUUUG